ensembl:snRNA U1 U1 spliceosomal RNA
AAACUUACCUGGCAAGCGAGAUACUGUGAUCAAGAAGGCAGUUCACUCAGGGUGAGGCUCAGCCUCUGCGAAUUCCACAAAUGUGGGAAUCUUGACUGCAUAAUUCCUGGUGGUGGGGGACUGCGUUUGCACUUG